rnacentral:rRNA from 1 species
CCAAAAAAAUAUCCACGUGAAUGUAUUCUUGUAUUAGGCUUUGUGCUACCUAGUGUAGCUAGCCGAAGGUUCUUUCGUAAGAGAGAACUGAUGUUUAAUUGAAUCCCUUUUAUAUUAAAUAACCUGACAUCAAUAUUGCAGAUAGAAAUAUAUGCAUGUAAUUGAAAUACAACUUUCAACAGUGGAUGUCUAGGCUCGCACAUCGAUGAAGAACGCUGCGAACUGCGAUACGUAAUGCGAAUUGCAGAAUUCAGUGAGUCAUCAAAAUUUUGAACGCAUAUUGCACUUUCGGGUUAGUCCUGGGAGUAUGUUUGUAUCAGUGUCCGUUUCAAACCAAUUGUUUCAUGUAUUUGAAGCAGAAUGUGAAGUGUCUUGUUCUUUUGAACAAGUCCUUUUAAAUGAAACGUACCUAUAUACAACGUAAGAAGCAUACCAAUAUAAAGGUGUGUAUCAUUUGAAUUUCAAUAUUGUUUUGUAUGAAUAUACAUGACNUUGAAAGUAAAAUGAAUUGCGGUAGUUUUGCUUGUACUUGUACGAGUGAACAAUAUAUUGCUUUUUGUUUUAUUGUAGAUGUGUGUAUUGCAGUAUGAAAUAAGGAGUUUAUAAUGGUAUAUACUGGGUUGUUUCUUUAGUAUAUAGAAGCAAAUGGGAAAUAUAUCCAAUUUGGACCUGAUAUCAAACAAGAUUACCCGCUGAACUUAAGCAUAUCAUUAAGCGGAGGAAAAGAAACUAACAAGGAUUCCCCCAGUAACGGCGAGUGAAGCGGGAAGAGCUCAAGCUUAAAAUCUCCAUGUUUUACAUGGCGAAUUGUAGUCUAUUGAGGCUGUUGUCAGCAUAGCGAUUUGGGAUAAGUCCCUUGGAAAAGGGCAGCAUAGAGGGUGAUACUCCCGUCUUUGCUCAGAUUGUCUAUGUGUACGAUACGCUUUCUUUGAGUCGAGUUGUUUGGGAAUACAGCUCAAAGUAGGUGGUAAAUUCCAUCUAAAGCUAAAUAUUGGUGCGAGACCGAUAGCGAACAAGUACCGUGAGGGAAAGAUGAAAAGAACUUUGAAAAGAGAGUUAAAGAGUACCUGAAACUGUUGAAAGGGAACCGUAACAUGUCCAGUGUUGUAUCUUGUGCAUAUUUCAUUAGUGGAGUAAUUUACUGGUGCCCUGUGCAUGAGUGUGACGUCAAAGUCAGUUUGUAUGCUGCGGGAGAUGGUUAGCAAGGAGGUGCGUCACUUUUGUGUCAGUUAUACCUUGUUAUCUAGUAGCCGUGGUUGAGACUGAGGUGCCUACAACAUGCUUAUAGAGUAUAUUGUUGUCUCGUUAUUAUACCUGUUUGGAUA